UACGUAGGGUGCGAGCGUUAAUCGGAAUUACUGGGCGUAAAGAGCUUGUAGGCGGUUUGUCGCGUCUGCCGUGAAAAUUCGAGGCUCAACCUCGAACUUGCGGUGGGUACGGUCAGACUAGAGUGUGGUAGGGGAGACUGGAAUUCCUGGUGUAGCGGUGAAAUGCGCAGAUAUCAGGAGGAACACCGAUGGCGAAGGCAGGUCUAUGGGCCACUACUGACGCUGAGAAGCGAAAGCAUGGGGAGCGAACAGG
rnacentral:rRNA from 1 species